rnacentral:rRNA from 1 species
GAUGAACGCUAGCUACAGGCUUAACACAUGCAAGUCGAGGGGCAUCAGGAAGAAAGCUUGCUUUCUUUGCUGGCGACCGGCGCACGGGUGAGUAACACGUAUCCAACCUGCCCUUUACUCGGGGAUAGCCUUUCGAAAGAAAGAUUAAUACCCGAUAGCAUAAUGAUUCCGCAUGGUUUCAUUAUUAAAGGAUUCCGGUAAAGGAUGGGGAUGCGUUCCAUUAGGUUGUUGGUGAGGUAACGGCUCACCAAGCCUUCGAUGGAUAGGGGUUCUGAGAGGAAGGUCCCCCACAUUGGAACUGAGACACGGUCCAAACUCCUACGGGAGGCAGCAGUGAGGAAUAUUGGUCAAUGGGCGCUAGCCUGAACCAGCCAAGUAGCGUGAAGGAUGAAGGCUCUAUGGGUCGUAAACUUCUUUUAUAUAAGAAUAAAGUGCAGUAUGUAUACUGUUUUGUAUGUAUUAUAUGAAUAAGGAUCGGCUAACUCCGUGCCAGCAGCCGCGGUAAUACGGAGGAUCCGAGCGUUAUCCGGAUUUAUUGGGUUUAAAGGGAGCGUAGGUGGACUGGUAAGUCAGUUGUGAAAGUUUGCGGCUCAACCGUAAAAUUGCAGUUGAUACUGUCAGUCUUGAGUACAGUAGAGGUGGGC